UAUUAAGCACAUUAGGCACGAGGGAAGGGGUUCCACCCCUUUUAUUUGCUUUUAUUGUAUUUCUUUUAUUGCUCCCAAUGUGUUAUGUGUACUAUCAAUUGCACUAACCAUUCUUUUGUUUUCCUGACUUGCAUUCAUGUGCCUUAGCAAUAAGAGGCCCCUUGGGCACUCUUUUAGUGACUUACCCACUAGAUAACUCACAUGUUUAAAUUUCAGUCAUUACACUUAAUUUUCAGUAAAUACAUUUUUCAUUUUUAGACCUUUUUCCCCCAAUGCAUUAUUUAUGUCCUUUAGGCCAUAUUUGUAACAUAUUUACAUCGCUUUAAUAAAUGGCAUCAUGCAUCUACCUUAGAAGGGAAUGCCACAUAGGGAAUCUCGUUUUAGAAAUCAGCCACCCCAUGUCUCGGAUAUAUAAUCCAAUGAGACUUGCACGUUUACCUUUCUCGUACCAUCCAAAGGGGUAGUGCACAAGGUAAGGUAGGAUCCGAUCAUUUUUCAUAAAGCGAUCCUUGGAAUAUGAGCAUCUAAUAAUCGCUUUUUGGCCAUUUUUAAACCUAACUGGUAAAAAUCCCUUGCGUAAAGGACAUUAAUUUGAAGAAAUUCAC
rnacentral:lncRNA from 1 species